UAAUAGUAAUAUUAAUCUAGUAGAACUAGAAGAUGGGAAAAUAUGGAGCAGACACAUAGACCAACUCAGGGGACGAUUGGAACAGAAUCUGAACGACCAGAAAACCUCAGAAACAGAAACACAACAUAGAGAGAUAAGACCAACCCAAACAACUACAAAUACUGAAAACACAAGCCUCCCCACUCUAGGGUGGGACUCAAACUCAAGUACACUGCAGGAUAACUUAGCUGAAGGGGGAGAAAUCCAGC